GAGGGUAUAGCUCAGUGGUAGAGCACAUGCUUAGCAUGCACGAGGUCCUGGGUUCAAUCCCCAGUAUCGCCA
rfam:Camelus ferus unplaced genomic scaffold scaffold1862, whole genome shotgun sequence.